rnacentral:rRNA from 1 species
GGUACGGGGGGGCAAGCGUUGUUCGGAAUUACUGGGCGUAAAGGGCGUGUAGGCGGCCAACUAAGUCCGACGUGAAAUCCCCAGGCUUAACCUGGGAACUGCGUCGGAUACUGGAUGGCUUGAAUCCGGGAGAGGGAUGCGGAAUUCCAGGUGUAGCGGUGAAAUGCGUAGAUAUCUGGAGGAACACCGGUGGCGAAGGCGGCAUCCUGGACCGGCAUUGACGCUAAAGCGCGAAAGCCAGGGGAGCAAACGGG